rnacentral:rRNA from 1 species
GACGAACGCUGGCGGCGUGCUUAACACAUGCAAGUCGAACGGAAAGGCUCCAGCUUGCUGGAGUACUCGAGUGGCGAACGGGUGAGUAACACGUGGGUAAUCUGCCCUGCACUCUGGGAUAAGCCUGGGAAACUGGGUCUAAUACUGGAUAUGACCUUUCUCCUUAUGGGGUUUGGUGGAAAGUUUUUCGGUGUAGGAUGAGCCCGCGGCCUAUCAGCUUGUUGGUGGGGUGUUGGCUUACCAAGGCGACGACGGGUAGCCGGCCUGAGAGGGUGAUCGGCCACAUUGGGACUGAGAUACGGCCCAGACUCCUACGGGAGGCAGCAGUGGGGAAUAUUGCACAAUGGGCGGAAGCCUGAUGCAGCGACGCCGCGUGAGGGAUGACGGCCUUCGGGUUGUAAACCUCUUUCAGCAGGGACGAAGCGUAAGUGACGGUACCUGCAGAAGAAGCACCGGCUAACUAUGUG